CCCUUAGAUGUUCUGGGCCGCACGCGUGCUACACUGACAUGUUCAACAAGCCUCCUAGUUCGACAGGAUUUGGGAAAUCUUUGAACGCAUGUCGUGAUAGGGAUAGAUCAUUGCAAUUAUUGAUCUUGAACGAGGAAUUCCUAGUAAACGCGAGUCAUCAGCUCGCAUUGAUUACGUCCCUGCCCUUUGUACACACCGCCCGUCGCACCUACCGAUUGAAUGUUUCGGUGAAGAUUCCGGAUAGGACUUUUUUGAUUUAUUUCAAUUCUGUCUUAAAAGCUAUCUAAACCUCAACAUUUAGAGGAAGGUGAAGUCGUAACA
rnacentral:rRNA from 1 species